rnacentral:rRNA from 1 species
UACGUAGGGGGCAAGCGUUGUCCGGAAUCAUUGGGCGUAAAGCGCGUGUAGGCGGUCCGGUAAGUCCGUUGUGAAAGUCCAGGGCUCAACCCUGGGAUGCCGGCGGAUACUGCCGGGCUAGAGUCCGGAAGAGGCGAGUGGAAUUCCCGGUGUAGCGGUGAAAUGCGCAGAUAUCGGGAGGAACACCUAUGGCGAAGGCAGCUCGCUGGGACGGUACUGACGCUGAGACGCGAAAGCGUGGGGAGCAAACAGG